GUCCUUGUAGCGCAAUGGAUAGUGCAUUGGACUUCUAAUCCAGUGGUCGUGGGUUUAAAUCUCACCUGGGAUG